rnacentral:lncRNA from 1 species
AUUUAUAUUUAUUAAAAUAUUUAUAUCGAAAAUGAUUUGGUAAAAAUAUAAUUUUUAGCAUGCACUUGAAAAAUAAAGUAAAAAAAACAGCAUGAAAAUUUCUAAUAUUUUAUUGGGCAUUUGCUCACGAAAUGUGUUGAAAGUCGUUAGCAACUAAAAUUUCCUCUGCCACAUCAAGCGAUUUAAUAAUUUUAUAGCAAAAACUAAAUAAUUUGUUUAAAAAGCUUGCGCUUUCGCUUAAAUCAUACAUAGUAUACCCCUUCUCGGGCGUCGCUGCUCCAAAAAGUAAAUAUAUACAUAUUUUUAGCUUUAAGUUGACAUUAUAAUUUUUAGUGAUUUGUAAGUUUAAUGUAGCAACAAUUUGUUUUGUUUUAUAUAUUUUAGAUAAAUUAAAACUAUUUAAUUUGUUAAAAUUUAUACUUUCCAAAUAUACGUACAUGCAAGUGUACUUGAUAUUUGUAUGUUUGCCAGUUUAUGUUUUUAUGUAAUAUGCACUUUUAGUUUUCUAAAAAAAAAAUUUAAAUUAAUUUAAAAAAUUUUGUUCCCUAACCUAAAUAUUUAAUAAACAAUGAACUUAUGCACUAAUGAGAUAAUACAAAAAAGCAAUAAAUUAAACUGAAUGACAAGCGUUAUGUGAAUAUAGUGGAAUUGCACAAAUUUUAUACAACCCAACUGGAGAAGCAAUAAAAGCUGAAUUUCAAAUAGUAAAAAUAUUGCCGAAAAAGCAACGUUUAAGAACGCCAAGCAGCUGCCGCUCGCAGACAGUACUGAAAGUGUGUUAAAAAUGAAAUCAAAAAUAUGCAUUUGCUUUGCCAAUAUGUGGCAUACACCCAUCCCCCACAGACGCACACGUACAUACAUGCAUAUGGGGUGCUGCAAGCAGCUCGAAAAUUGUGUUCUUUCAACACACACGCCAAACGCUCAACGCUUUUGGGCACGCUGUAAGCGUGUGUAUAUUAGCAAGUCGCUUUUUAAUCGAGCGCUUGGACCACAGACCGACAGCAAACAAACGAACGAACGAACUCGUGCAACUGAAUUCUUUAAAUCAAUAAAUUGUCUUAGCACUGCUUUAAAGCAACAAAAAUAAUUAGCAAAAUUUUAUUUAAAAUAAAAGAUAUUACAAAUUUAACAAUUAUGUAUGUAAUUAUGUACUUUAAAAUUAUAAUAACAAAAACAAAAUCACAAUCGCCGCUAAAAUGACCACAAUAAGUGGGCGUGGCAAACGAAUUGGUUGUAAACUACGCAAUUAUGUUUAAAAUGUAAAAUGUGUGUGGCUUUCGUAAAACAAAUAAUAAUGUUAAACAAAAAAGUUUCAAUUAAAUGGAUAAUAUAAAACCGUUAGUAGAGCUUAGCAAGUAAAAGUAAAGAGAAAUUGAAACUGGAAAAUUGCAUAAAAAACAUAACACAAAACCAAAAUGUAAAGCAAUCACUCACUGCAUACAUGCUUAUGUAGAGUGGCAUUUGGACCUGUAGAAUGCUAAGAGAGAAAUACGUUGCCAACUUUGUUAAAAAAAAUGUUCAAAACUUUGCAAUACAACUAUGCGUUUACAAAAUGAAAACCUUAAACAUAACUAACACAUAAAAAGUAAUUGAUUACGGUAAUUUAAAAACAGUUACCCAAGGCGAACAGUUACGCACAAGUGCUCGUUUCGUCAUUUCUUUUUUUUUUUUUACGAUUUUUUUUUUCGUUUAUGUACAUAACUAAUUGAAAUUGUUAGUGAAAAUUGUAAGAUAACAACAAACAAAAUCUAGAUGUGUGAAAAAUUUCCUUUUUCAAUUUAUGAUAACAAUCAGUGUUUGUAUGUGUAUUAAAAACAACUAUUAUCAAAUCCAAAAACUGCAAAAUAAACAUGUAAAACAAUUUUAAUGAUAACAAAAACACAAAAAAACUAUUAUCUAAUAAAAGAGAUAUAAGACAGCGCCAGUAUUGGCGAUUGUUGCGUGUACUUAUGGGCCCACACACCUACAGCCCAUGAAAAACAUGUAUCCUUAACGAAAAAUGAGGUUAUGUAUUACUAGUGGGAAUAUAGUUUUAGCCAUCAAGUGUUUUUUAGUUCAGAUACCCAAAAAAUUGGAAACACAAUAAAAUUCAAAAGCGCUUAAAACUAAGCUAUAGUUCAAGAUUCUUCAUAGAUUUUUGGGUGAUAAUGUUAUGGUUGAUAUUGAAUUUGUUAUAAAGCAGAAAUUAAAAGACGAAAUGUAGUAAUUAUGGAAAUUUUAAGUAACAUUGUUACUAUUAAUGUUGAAGAUAGAUUUUUCAAAUUCAAACUUUGAGGUUAGGUUCAAAACUUCAUAUAUAUCGAAAUUUUAAGUAAUAUUGUUACUACUAAUGUUGCAGAUUUUAAGAUCAUAGCUUUUGCUUUCAGUUUUAAGUCUAUUUUCCAAAUACAAACUUUGAGGUUAGGUUCAAAAUUUCAUUCCUAUCGUUUCUGUAACGUGUUUAUUUAUCUAAUUUAGUUGUCUUCUACUAUCGCUAUUCUAUAGCCGCUUUCAUUGUCAUUUGAACACAUACAGAACUAACCUCGAAAUUCAUCUUUAAGGCAAUGAAAACCAUGAACCUAUUAUAUAACCUCAAGAGCAAAAAUCAUAAAAUUCGAAAGCUCAUGCUUAUAACUAUUUAUAACUGUAUGCGUGUGGGCACAUGGGUGCAUGCAACUGCAACCAAUUAUCAGUGUGAACCUACAAGUUAUUUAUCUAAACGUACAUACAUCUACAUAUAUAGUUAUGUAAGUUAGUAAAGAUUGCGAGAGCAAACCUAAAUGGCGACAACAACAAAUUCUAGUUAAUAGGAAACUACUGAACUUAAACUGAGGGUACAUACAUUUAAAAAAAAAUAAAAAUCAAUAACAAUAAAGAAGAAAUAAGCAAAACAAAGCAAAAAGUAUCGCAACACGAAGGAUACGUAACUUAAUUCAAUUUAAAUACGCAUCAAAUGUAACUGUAAUUGUAAUUGUAUUUAGUAGUAAGUCAAUAUUUACUGAUGAAUGUGUAUGUGUAACUCGGAGGCGCGAUUAUAAAGGAAUGCAACAAUUUUUUAAUUAAAAAAAAUUAAAGUAACUUAAUUAUCUUAAAUGAAAAAAACCAAUAAUAAUAAUAAUAAAUAAUGUUUACGCAACACAUUACUACUAAAAUUAAAGUUAAUACAACUAAAUAAUGUAUUUAAUAAAUUUAUAAUAAUGAUAUAUAUAAUUGUAUGUAUGUAUGUAAAAUUUUAAAAAAUCUCACAAAUAUUUUAUAAAACAACAAAACAAAAACAAAAACAACUCGAAAACAACAAAAAUCAGAAUGAAACAAAUAAGCAAGUUUAAUAUUAUCUAUUGGUAUAUUAAGUUAGUCAAAGUAUCGUCGGAAAUUAUAAGUAAAAAAUCUAAAUAUAAAGCAAAUUACAAAAAUGCAAGUUGGACUUAACUAUACAUAUGUACAUAUGUAUAUGUAUUAAAAAAAAUUAAAAAUAUAAAAACAAAAAACACAAAGAAAACGUUUAAAAGCAGCCGAGUAAGCGCAGUAGACGUGUUUGUUUGUUUGCGUGUGAGCGUGCGCACAAGUCGGCGGCGUGCAAGGCGCAAAGUGCGCCGCGCUCAACCGAACAUUACACUCACCCACCUGGCGCAUACUGGCAAAAUACAAAGUGAAACAACAAAAACAAAGCAUGAAAACACACUGUUAUCAGGGUGUUGACAUAAAUAUUUAAUAAAGAAAAUUAAUAAAUUAUAAAAUAUAAA